UGAUGCAAUCUCCCCGCGGAAAGAUGAAAAGAACCCAAGAAGGGAAUGAAAAAGACCGAAAAUUGAUUACAUAUAUCCAACAGAAGGGUAAAAUUGCCUAACUGUGUACCUUUUGCAUGAUGGAUCGACAAGUUUUAAAAAUAUAGCAAGCGUAAGCGUAGAGAAAACAAAAAUGAAAAUUUUCACUAAAGUUAUAUUUUUUAAGACCCGAAGCCAAAAUGAGCUAACCAUGGCCGGACAGAACUCAUUUCAAAAAGAAUGACGGAGGGUCGAACUCGUGUAUGUUGCAUAAUACUGGGGUGAGCUGUGGUUUGGAGUGAAAAGCUAUUCGAAUUUGGUAAUAUCUGGUUUUCCGCGAAAGCUAUUUAAGUAGCGUUUUUAUAAUGUUUGUUAACGAAGGUAGAGCACUA
rnacentral:rRNA from 1 species